GGGCGCAAGCCUGAUGCAGCGACGCCGCGUGAGGGAUGGAGGCCUUCGGGUUGUAAACCUCUUUUAUCGGGGAGCAAGCGUGAGUGAGUUUACCCGUUGAAUAAGCACCGGCUAACUACGUGCCAGCAGCCGCGGUAAUACGUAGGGUGCAAGCGUUAUCCGGAAUUAUUGGGCGUAAAGGGCUCGUAGGCGGCUCGUCGCGUCCGGUGUGAAAGUCCAUCGCUUAACGGUGGAUCCGCGCCGGGUACGGGCGGGCUUGAGUGCGGUAGGGGAGACUGGAAUUCCCGGUGUAACGGUGGAAUGUGUAGAUAUCGGGAAGAACACC
rnacentral:rRNA from 1 species